rnacentral:ncRNA from 1 species
UAGCGACGCUCUGGAAAGUGCCACUUCUCGACAGAGGGGGGCCGCCGAAGGGGUAACCUCGUGAAGCCUUUCUGGAGAGGAAGGUGGGGGAAAGCUCUCAGGUUUCCGUGACAGAGGGGGCGCC